rnacentral:rRNA from 1 species
UCCGGUUGAUCCCGCCGGAGAUGACCGUUAUCAGGGUUCGACUAAGCCAUGCGAGGCGCGAGCUAUUCUCGCCGGACUGCUCAGUAACACGUAGUUAACUGCCCUUUAUCUGGUGGAUAAUCCUGGGAAACUGGGGCUAAUACGCCAUAGGCUCUGGAUGCUGGAAGCACCAGUGCCGAAAGCUACGGCGGAUGGAUGGGACUGCGACGUAUCAGCUCGUAGUGAGUGUAAAGUACUCACUAGGCUAUAACGCGUAGGGGCCAUGAGAGUGGGAGCCUCGAGAUGCCUUCUGAGACAUGAAGGCAGGUCCUACGGGACGCAGCAGGCGCGAAAACUUUCCAAUUCGUUAGCGCGUGAGAAGGGAACCUUGAGUGGCUAUCAAUGCAUAGCUUUUGCUUAGUCCAAACAACUAGGCGAAUAAGUGGUGGGUAAACAGGUGCCAGCCGCCGCGGUAAUACCUGCGCCACGAAUGGUCAUCGCGUUUAUUGGGUCUAAAGUGUCCGUAGCCGGCCAUGCAAGUCUCUGGUGAAAUCUGGCAGCAAACUGUCAGGCGUGCUGGAGAUACUACAAGGCUUGGGAUCGGGAGAGGGCUGGAGUAUUCCGCGUGUAGGGGUUAAAUCCUUUAAUCCGCGGAGGACUACCGGUGGCGAAGGCGCCAGCCUGGAACGAGUCCGACGGUGAGGGACGAAAGCGUGGGGAGCAAAUGGGAUUAGAUACCCCAGUAGUCCACGCUGUAAACGUUGUCCGUUUGGUGUCGCAUGUCCUACGAGGUCAUGCGGUGCCGGAGCGUAGGUGUUAAACGGACCACCUGGGGAGUACGGCCGCAAGGCUGAAACUUAAUGGAAUUGGCGGGGGAUCACACAAGGGGUGGAGGCUGCGGUUCAAAUGGAUUCAACGCC